GACGAACGCUGGCGGCGUGCCUAAUACAUGCAAGUAGAACGCUGAAGGAGGAGCUUGCUUCUCUGGAUGAGUUGCGAACGGGUGAGUAACGCGUAGGUAACCUGCCUGGUAGCGGGGGAUAACUAUUGGAAACGAUAGCUAAUACCGCAUAAGAGUAGAUGUUGCAUGACAUUUGCUUAAAAGGUGCACUUGCAUCACUACCAGAUGGACCUGCGUUGUAUUAGCUAGUUGGUGGCGUAACGGCUCACCAAGGCGACGAUACAUAGCCGACCUGAGAGGGUGGUCGGCCACACUGGGACUGAGACACGGCCCAGACUCCUACGGGAGGCAGCAGUAGGGAAUCUUCGGCAAUGGACGGAAGUCUGACCGAGCAACGCCGCGUGAGUGAAGAAGGUUUUCGGAUCGUAAAGCUCUGUUGUAAGAGAAGAACGAGUGUGAGAGUGGAAAGUUCACACUGUGACGGUAUCUUACCAGAAAGGGACGGCUAACUACGUG
rnacentral:rRNA from 1 species